rnacentral:rRNA from 1 species
UACGUAGGGUGCGAGCGUUAAUCGGAAUUACUGGGCGUAAAGCGUGCGCAGGCGGUUGUGUAAGCCAGAUGUGAAAUCCCCGGGCUUAACCUGGGAAUGGCAUUUGGGACUGCACGGCUAGAGUGUGGCAGAGGGGGGUGGAAUUCCGCGUGUAGCAGUGAAAUGCGUAGAGAUGCGGAGGAACACCGAUGGCGAAGGCAGCCCCCUGGGUUAACACUGACACUCAUGCACGAAAGCGUGGGGAGCAAACAGG